UCUACUGAACUGCCAUGAGGAAACUG
rnacentral:piRNA from 1 species